rnacentral:misc_RNA from 1 species
GCAAACUUGGUCAUUUAGAGGAAGUAAAAGUCGUAACAAGGUCUCCGUUGGUGAACCAGCGGAGGGAUCAUUAGCGUGUCUCCGUGCCCGCGUACACACCCUGUGAACCCACGGCGUAAGCCGCUGUGUUGCCUCGGCCAGCGGCCCCAGGGCGGGGCCCGCCUAGCCUGGAUGGACCAGGUGCUGGCCGGCGGCGCGGACUUCUGGAUCGCGAUCGGGGGAGCUCUGAGUGAGGGAUUGUCCAAAUUCAAUACCAAAACUUUCAACAACGGAUCUCUUGGUUCUGGCAUCGAUGAAGAACGCAGC